rnacentral:rRNA from 1 species
GACGAACGCUGGCGGCGUGCUUAACACAUGCAAGUCGAACGAAGUGGCGAACGGGUGAGUAACGCGUAAUCAACCUGCCCUUCAGAGGGGGACAACAGUUGGAAACGACUGCUCAUACCGCAUACUGAAGGAUGGGAUUGCGGCUGAUUAGCUAGUUGGAGGGGUAACGGCCCCCCAAGGCGAUGAUCAGUAGCCGGUCUGAGAGGAUGAACGGCCACAUUGGGACUGAGACACGGCCCAGACUCCUACGGGAGGCAGCAGUGGGGAAUCUUCCGCAAUGGACGAAAGUCUGACGGGGCAACGCCGCGUGAGUGAUGACGGCCUUCGGGUUGUAAAGCUCUGUUAAUCGGGACGCGGUACCGGAAUAGAAAGCCACGGCUAACUACGUGCCAGCAGCCGCGGUAAUAC